UAAGACUGUUGUUGAGAAGAAUAACACAAUAGUCGAUAUCCAAGGUCAAAGUAAAAAAAAAAUAAGCUAAAGUGAAUAGCUAAAGUGAAAGCUAAAGUAGUGUAAAGUUAUAGCUAAAGUGAAAAAAGAAUAAUUAUGUAAUCUAUGAACUCCGUCAAUAAUGACAUAUCAAAGAGA